rnacentral:rRNA from 1 species
GACGAACGCUGGCGGCGUGCUUAACACAUGCAAGUCGAACGGAAAGGCCCUGCUUUUGUGGGGUGCUCGAGUGGCGAACGGGUGAGUAACACGUGAGUAACCUGCCCUUGACUUUGGGAUAACUUCAGGAAACUGGGGCUAAUACCGGAUAGGAGCUCCUGCUGCAUGGUGGGGGUUGGAAAGUUUCGGCGGUUGGGGAUGGACUCGCGGCUUAUCAGCUUGUUGGUGGGGUAGUGGCUUACAAAGGCUGUGACGGGUAGCCGGCCUGGGAGGGUGACCGGCGACAUUGGGACUGAGAUACGGCCCAGACUCCUACGGGAGGCAGCAGUGGGGAAUAUUGCACAAUGGGCGGAAGCCUGAUGCAGCAACGCCGCGUGCGGGAUGACGGCCUUCGGGUUGUAAACCGCUUUCGCCUGUGACGAAGCGUGAGUGACGGUAAUGGGUAAAGAAGCACCGGCUAACUACGUG